GCCGCUUAGCUCAGUGGGUAGAGCAUGAGACUCUAAAUCUGGAUGUCGCGGGUUCGAGCGCCGCAUCGGGCU
rnacentral:tRNA from 1 species